rnacentral:rRNA from 1 species
UACGGAGGGGGCUAGCGUUAUUCGGAAUUACUGGGCGUAAAGCGCACGUAGGUGGAUUGUUAAGUGAGAGGUGAAAUCCCAGGGCUCAACCCUGGAACUGCCUUUCAUACUGGUAAUCUUGAGUUCGGAAGAGGUGAGUGGAAUUCCUAGUGUAGAGGUGAAAUUCGUAGAUAUUAGGAAGAACACCGGUGGCGAAGGCGGCUCACUGGUCCGAUACUGACACUGAGGUGCGAAAGCGUGGGGAGCAAACAGG